UACGUAGGGUGCAAGCGUUAAUCGGAAUUACUGGGCGUAAAGCGUGCGCAGGCGGUUUGUUAAGUCAGUUGUGAAAUCCCCGAGCUCAACCUGGGAAUUGCAAUGGAUACUGGCAGGCUGGAGUAUGGUAGAGGAAGGUGGAAUUCCCGGUGUAGCAGUGAAAUGCGUAGAGAUCGGGAGGAACACCAGUGGCGAAGGCGGCCUUCUGGACCAAUACUGACGCUCAUGCACGAAAGCGUGGGGAGCAAACAGG
rnacentral:rRNA from 1 species